CCCUCUUCCUGGCCAGUAGAAACCAAUUUUGUUUCCAUACUGACACUUUCCUCUGAGGCCUUCUGCUGAGGACGGGUGACUUUAUCUCUAGCCACUUCCCAGGAGGGUGAGGCAUGGAUAUUGAUUGGUCUAUGGUGAUCCCAUUCUCUUUCCUACCAUUGGUUUAAGAACAGUCAUGAGACCUCAUCUUGAUCAAUGAUAUGUAAGAGAAAUGAUGGGAUGGUUUCUACAGAAAAGAUUUCCAAUCGAUAGAAAGAAACUCAGGGGAGGAAAUGGUUCCUUCGCUUCAGUUGGAUUAGUGUCAUGUCCACAUGGGACACCUAGAACUAUGGCAGCCACCUUGUGACCGGGAGAGACAACACCAACAGGUUGAAGCUGACAGUGAACAAUGAUGGUGUUCUUGAUGAGUUACUUGUCAAUUACAAAAGAAAAGAAAACCAUAACAGCAGAGUAAUCUGGCAGAUGCCAAUUUAACCAAGGGAUUGAAGCUGAUGUCUUCAACAAUGAGACAAACCCCCAUCUUUGCUUCCUGAUGUGAGACUUCCCCAUGGCGCAACAGUCCUAACCCAGCAGAAACCUCAGACAAGUCCAAACCCAGGGACUUUAUGCAAAUUGACUGGCCUGUACUCUUCAAAAAUGUCAAGGUCAUGAAAAACAAGAAAAGGCUGAGGAACUAUUCUAAAUUAAAGGAUAAUAAAGAAACACCAUAACAACAGCAAUGUGUGAUCCUGGAUUGGAUUCUGAACAAUCCCCAAAAUUGCUAUAAUGGACAUUAUUGGGACCACUGGUGAAGCUGGACUGUGGACUGUAGAUUAACUGACAAUAAUCACAUCCGUGUGAAAUGCCUUGAAUCUCCCGCAGAGCCAGUUUCCAUUUAGACAGG
rnacentral:lncRNA from 1 species